rnacentral:rRNA from 1 species
UACGAAGGGGGCUAGCGUUGUUCGGAAUUACUGGGCGUAAAGCGCACGUAGGCGGAUAUUUAAGUCAGGGGUGAAAUCCUGGAGCUCAACUCCAGAACUGCCUUUGAUACUGAGGAUCUUGAGUUCGGGAGAGGUGAGUGGAACUGCGAGUGUAGAGGUGAAAUUCGUAGAUAUUCGCAAGAACACCAGUGGCGAAGGCGGCUCACUGGCCCGAUACUGACGCUGAGGCACGAAAAGCGUGGGGAGCAAACAGGG